CCCUGAUCUCUUCGGAGUUGAGGGGAGUGGUGGAGCCGGUGACCCAGGCUGGUAGUAGGUGAGUGAUGGGGUGACGCAGGAAGGUAGUCCAUCCCGGGCGGUGGUUGUCCCGGGGUAAGGGUGUAGGGCGUUGCGUAGGUAAAUCCGCGCAGCUUGUGCCUGAGACCUGAUGCCGAGCCGAUUGUGGUGAAGUGGAUGAUCCUAUGCUGUCGAGAAAAGCCUCUAGCGAGUUUCAUGGCGGCCCGUACCCUAAACCGACUCAGGUGGUCUGGUAGAGAAUACCGAG
rnacentral:rRNA from 1 species